rnacentral:rRNA from 1 species
UACGUAGGUGGCAAGCGUUGUCCGGAUUUACUGGGCGUAAAGAGCGCGCAGGCGGUCGUUUAAGUCGAAUGUGAAAGCCCCCGGCUCAACUGGGGAGGGUCAUUCGAUACUGAUCGACUUGAAGGCAGGAGAGGGAAGUGGAAUUCCGGGUGUAGUGGUGAAAUGCGUAGAUAUCCGGAGGAACACCAGUGGCGAAGGCGACUUCCUGGCCUGUUCUUGACGCUGAGGCGCGAAAGCUGGGGGAGCAAAC